UGGGUGUCUUGGGAUAAGAUGACGAGACCAAAAAGUGAAGGGGGCAUGGGCUUUCGUGACCUCAGAAUUUUUAGUCAGACGCUUUUGGCUAAACAAGCUUGACGUUUAUUGGUUUUUACGGACUCUUUGUGUGCAAAGGUGAUGAAAGCUAAAUAUUAUCCUUAUGGGCAUCUUAUAGAUACGGUUUUUCCUCAAGCAACAUCCCUUACGUGGCAAGGAAUUAUGCAUGGACUCGAUCUGCUAAAAAAAGGCAUCAUAUGAAGAGUGGUCGAUGGUUCUAGUAUAAACAUUUGGAGGGAUAAUUGGAUCCCUAGGGAUUCUGGCCUACGAAUAUCUGCUAAAAAGAAUAGAAUUAGGAUCAAAUGGGUGUCCGGGUUAUUCAUGAGUGGGUCUAGGAGUUGGGAUAAGAACCUGAUCAGGCAUCUUUUCUAUAUUCAUGAUGCAGAGGAAAUUCUAAAGUUGCGUAUUCUCAGGUUGAAUGAAGGUGAUGUUAUUGCUUGGCAUUAUGAGAAAAGUGGUUUGUUCUCUGUGAAAAGUGCGUAUAGGCUGGCACUGAAUCUACAGGAAUCAAAGGUUGAUCCAGGUAACUCUAGUGGUGCCAAGAAUGAGGAAAGGAGGCUCUGGAAUAUAAUUUGGAAGGCUAACGUCCCCCAGAAAAUUAGAAUAUUUGCAUGGAGGGCUGCUUCUAAUAGUUUGGCAGUUCAAGUUAACAGGGUUAAACACCAUCAAGCUAUUCUAGGUACGUGCUCGAUUUGUGGUAUUGAAGAUGAAUGUAUUUUUCACGCAUUGGUGAGUUGCCCCAAGGCUCGGACGUUUCGUAUGGCUUUGAAGGAAGUGUGGAAUUUACCGGCUGAAGAGACCUUCAAAUUUUCUGGGCCCGACUGGUUUCUUAUUUUAUUGGGUCACUUAAAUCCGACGGUGCGUGAGCAAACGUUAUUCAUGUUCUGGAGAGCUUGA
rnacentral:rRNA from 1 species